rnacentral:sRNA from 1 species
CUUGGUCAUUUAGAGGAAGUAAAAGUCGUAACAAGGUCUCCGUUGGUGAACCAGCGGAGGGAUCAUUACCGAGUACUAUAACUCAUAACCCUUUGUGAACCUUUAUACCUGUUGCUUCGGCGGCGCGCCUCCCGGGGCGUGCCCGCCGGCAUUAUCAGAAUCUCUGUUCGAACCCGACGAUACAUCUGAGUGUUCUAAGCGAACUGUUAAAACUUUCAACAACGGAUCUCUUGGCUCCAGCAUCGAUGAAGAACACAGCGAAACGCGAUAUGUAAUGUGAAUUGCAGAAUUCAGUGAAUCAUCGAAUCUUUGAACGCACAUGGCGCCUUCCAGUAUCCUGGGAGGCAUGCCUGUCCGAGCGUCGUUUCAACCCUCGAGCCCCCGUGGCCCGGCGUUGGGGAUCUGCCCAGGCAGUCCCCGAAAACCAGUGGCGGACCCGUUGGGCCCUUCCUUUGCGUAGUAACAUCUGCCUCGCAUCGGGAGCCUGCGGGCUAUCCGGCCUCUAAACCCCCCUCAAGCCCGCUCCGGCGGCACCAAGGUUGACCUCGGAUCAGGUAGGAAUACCCGCUGAACUUAAGCAUAUCAAUAAGCGGAGGAAAAGAAACCAACAGGGAUUGCCUCAGUAACGGCGAGUGAAGCGGCAACAGCUCAAAUUUGAAAUCUGGCUCCUUCGGGGCCCGAGUUGUAAUUUGCAGAGGAUGCUUCGGGUACGGGUUCCUUCCGAGUUCCCUGGAACGGGACGCCAUAGAGGGUGAGAGCCCCGUCUGGUAGGACACCCAGCCCGUGUGAGGCUCCCUCGACGAGUCGAGUUGUUUGGGAAU